ACCAUAAAAGUUUUGAGAAGCAAUAAGAAGCUUGGUUAGUGUUUUGUAGUCAACUAUGACUAGAUGUCAGUUAUAUGAUUGAGGAUAAGACCUAGAAUCACAACCGGUUCCUAAAAGUUAAAGUAUUGUUUCCUUGUUAGAAGAUAUGAUAGUAGGAUUUUUCUCAAUUAAUCGUAAAACACUAUCCUGUCGUUGUAGUAUUUUAAGAUGUCAAUCCAAUCCGGUGUGAUGCAAACAGAUGAGAUAUGAUUAGAAAGCUCUAAGUCAAGCCAAGUAGAGAGUCGGUUGGUUCUAACAGUCCUAGUAUGCAAUAACAGAAAUGAAAUGAAACUAAAAGCAGAAAUGGCAAUAGUAGGCAGGUAAAUAACAAAGCAGAAAUGAUAACUGGCAAUCAAAUGGAUAUACGAUUCUUAAGGAUGGGGUAAUCGAAUAGUAUGGUCUCCUUAAUCUA
rnacentral:sRNA from 1 species